GGUCAGAAAAAGAAGGAAAUCGAAUCUUCUUGCUGCGGAGAUUCGAAUAAAUCCUCUCCCGUGGUUCUGGUACGUCUGAAGCCUUUCCGAGUGCGGGACCAAGACCAUCUCCCUCACAUAUUCUCCGAGGAAGACUAGGUUUGUCUUUUACCUGUCGGUCUAAUGGUGCUGGAGUGCCCAAAGAAGGCGCCACAAAAAGAAACCAGCGAGAAAAAAGAAAACCAGAGGCCGUCAACGUUUUCUGGACGCAUAGAGCUCUGUCGCAAGAGUGGCUCACCGGCGGUACGGCGUUCUGAAUGGGGCAUUGUGGAAAUGGUUGAGUCAUCCCCGUUGAGUGAAAAAUACGUGUUGGGUGUAGUCUCAUUAUAGUCAGCGACAAGUGCUGUACUAAACAAGUACUGUGCUGGUAUACUAUAGUCAAUAGAAUACCACCAACCCUC
rnacentral:misc_RNA from 1 species